rnacentral:rRNA from 1 species
UCGAGGAUCUUCGGCAAUGGGCGCAAGCCUGACCGAGCGACGCCGCGUGUGCGACGAAGGCCUUCGGGUUGUAAAGCACUGUCGAGGGGGAGGAAAGCCCGCAAGGGCCUGACCUAUCCCUGGAGGAAGCACGGGCUAAGUUCGUGCCAGCAGCCGCGGUAAGACGAACCGUGCGAACGUUGUUCGGAAUCACUGGGCUUAAAGGGCGCGUAGGCGGUCCCCCCCGUCCGGGGUGAAAUCUUUCGGCCUAACCGGAAAAGGGCCUCGGAAACAGGGGGACUGGAGGGGGAUAGGGGCGGACGGAACUUCCGGUGGAGCGGUGAAAUGCGUUGAUAUCGGAAGGAACGCCGGUGGCGAAAGCGGUCCGCUGGGUCCCUACUGACGCUGAGGCGCGAAAGCCAGGGGAGCGAACGGGAUUAGAUACCCCUGUAGUCC